rnacentral:misc_RNA from 1 species
GCAAAAGUCGUAACACGGUUUCCGUAGGUGAACCUGCGGAAGGAUCAUUCACACGUGAAGCAUGAAGGCAGAGAAAGGAUGCUUUUGAUCAGAUAUAUCUGCUUUGCUUGUAGGUUUGCAUUGGUUCUUGGUAACAAGUCGCCAAGCAGAUUUGCAUGCAUGCAGUUUUGUGAUCAUUAUUUAUAGCGUCUUUUUCUUUGGCUGCUGUUUAUGCUUUUGUUAUGGAUUGGACACACAUUACAAAAUCUGUAAAUCUUUUUUCUUUUCUCACAACGAGUUUUCUCUUUGAAAUUUCUGGAAAGAAAGAAUAUAGAUUGCUGGCUGUGUAUGUACCAGCAGAAUGUGUAGAAUGAAAAAGUUGAAAAACUUUCA